AGAAAUAACUUAAAAGUUGGUAGAAAUAACUCAAAAUGGUUUUCGGUUCGAAAAAAAAAGUAAAUGGUACACUUUUUUCUUAAUAAGUUCAUGCGAUUGAAAGAGACAGAAUCUGUUCUUAUCACGCUGACACGUAGACAAAUAGGACCAUCAUAUCCUUACUGGCGUCAUUUAACUAUUUUAAUCCAAAACGAAUUAUGUACAAAAUUGGAAAGAAUUUUAAUAGGUACAGAAAAAAAAACGAUUUUCUAUUUUAGUGACAUCCGUUCUUGAAUAAAUAAGACGGUUAUUGUUCAGAAAUCAUCAGAAUUGAAUUAAGCCCUAAAAAUUUAAACGUGUUUUCGAUAAAGCGCCUAAGCAAACAGACGGGACCCUAAUACAACAUGUUUACAGUAUAAUCGGCUCCUAUUUGCACAUCGUAAUGUUAUCUCCAAUGCGAAGGAGUGCCCGGUAGGUGAUAACCACUCAAAGUAUUCUAGAUAACGACCCAGUAAUGGUUGGAAUUAGUUCCUAUCGUGCGCUUAGACUAAAGUAGUAGUAAAAUUCAAGCUGUAUUAGUGAUAUACUACUGUUUUUCCCUAUUUUCUAGUUAAAUAGUAUUAGAACCUACGUUGGGUUGUGUUCAGUGUGUGUUCGAAGUGGCAUUAGGAUCCAAGGAUGUCUGAAGAUAGCAAGCCGUUGAUACAACUGAUGAAGAAGGCAAACUAUGUGCUGAAAGAAUGAAAGAGAUUGCGGAGACGGCGUACCAUGACGAUGCAGAAAAAAAGAAGAAGAGUGAGGACUUCACCAGAACUUGUUUAUAUGUAAACGAAGAAGGAAUCAGUGGGGAAAGGAAGGAAUGUGAAAGGGCAGCGAAAAUCUUCAAAUGCGCUAUCGACAAUUUUGAUUCGUAAGUUUUACUUUUGUAAUUCGUCAGCGUGAACCUCGCCGAUAAGAUAAGAUAAGAUAAGGUUAUUAAGCUCAAAAGUUUACACCUUAUACAUUUCCUUAUAAUAUAUUACAUAGGAUUCAUCGUCCAAGAGCCU